AUUUAUUUAAUAUAAUUCCAUGUAUAUUUGGCUUCCAACCAAAAAGUCUAUUUUAGAAUAAAUA
rnacentral:tRNA from 1 species